AAUGGCCUGAUCUCACGACCGGCAGCCUGGAGCCCCUCACCAGGUGCCCUGAGCUGGAGAGUCUCACCCUAUCCGGCGGCGUCCCUGACGCCGUGAGCCUGGAGCCUCUCACCAGGUGCCCUGAGCUGCGGUGGCUCACCCUGUCCGGCGGCGUCCCUGACGCCGUGCUGGACAGUCUCAGCAGCUGCCCCGGGCUGGAGUACCUUACACUGGGGGACCGCCAGCGGCCGGCAGAGACGGCCUUCACAGCAGCAGCGUACACCAGACUGGUGAAGUCGUGUCGGAAGCUGUGGGUUCUGUACCUUCACUGCACGGCAGACACCACCCGGGCCGUGCUGACCGCCCUGAAGGAGACGGACCUGGGCCGGGACAGUUUUGGCCGGUCCCGUAUCAUCUGUCUCAAUGUCCCCGAGGAGCUGUACCGUCAGCUGUUGAGCCAGGAAGGCGAUGGGGUCGAAGUGUAUUGGUGGAGGGAUUGAUGCGCUGCACUACCGACCGUGCAGUGAUGAGCUGACUGCAGAGAGGCCGAGCCAGUCGGCCGGGGCAGCCAGCUGACUGCUGCCGUGUGUGCUGCACCAGCCGGCACUGAGAGCGGCGCCGGUCAGCCGGCACACGGCCCCCGUGUCCGCUCUAGUGUAGUCAUGUAGUUGUAGUAGUAGUGUAGAUGUAGUAGUAGCCCACGGAUGUGAUGUAGUGGGUAAUUACCCGGCGGGUAUUGUGGGUAAUUGGCUGGACGGGAGAUGUGAUGUAGUGGGUAAUUUCCGGGCAGGUAUUGUGGGUAAUUGGACGGUGGUAUGUGAUGCAGUGGGUAAUAACCGGGCAGGUAUUGUGGGUAAUUGGACAGUGAAAAGUGAUGUGCUGGAGAGACUACCGAUCGUGGCAUUACGCUAUUCUGUAUGUAGAACACACGUCUCUGAUCGUCCGACUCGGUUCACCGCGCCUGGUCCCGGCGGCACGGCCGGCCUCGGUCACGUGACCGUCCCCCGGUGGAGUCGGACGGCUCGGUCACGUGACCGCUCCCCCCGGGUCUGGCUGCACCUCGGCUCGGCGGUGCUGAGCGCCGUGCUGAGCGUGUUGUGACACGUCCCACACGGACAGCUCUACUCGACUACUGGCUAGCUGCCGUCCGAGCUGGCAGUAUACACGCGGUGCCAGUUCAGACGGCGGCCGGCCGCGCCGCGCCCGCCCGCUCCGGUCCCGGCCGGCGGCCGUCAUCCGGCCCGGGGCGGGGACCGGUCCGUCAGCUGACCAUUGGCCAGUCAGCUGACCAUUGGUCCGUCAGCUGACCAUUGGUCAGUCAGCUGAUUGGUCCGUCAGCUGAUUGGUCAGUCAGCUGGUUGGUCCGUCAGCUGAUUGGUCCGUCAGCUGAUUGGUCAGUCAGCUGGUUGGUCCGUCAGCUGAUUGGUCCGUCUGCUGAUUGGUCCGUCAGCCAAUCAGUCUCCACCGGCGGAGCGCGGCGCACGCCGAGACUCGAGACGUCAAACACAUGUCUACUUUAUACACGAGAGGAGACGCUUCAGCUGUACCAUCUGUAGCCUAGGGCAAUUAGUUACCGGGCGAGUAUUGUGGGCAAUUGGGUGAAGUGAUGCGAUGUAGUGUGUAAUUACCGGUCAGGUAUUGUGGAUAAUGUAACCCUGGGUAUGAUAUAGCCGGCUAUCCAACGGUCGGAUAUAGUCAGCUGGAUGCUACUGAAUUGUGUAGAGCUCUGACGGCACCGGUCAUAACGAGUGUCCUCGCGUCUGUCCGACUCGGUUCACGGAAGCACGCCGUCACGGCCCGGGUGCGCGCCGCCAUGUUUUGUGUCCUCUGCUUCGUACAGGGGGGUAAUUGGGCUACCGACCGAUUGGGAGUCGGAGUCGGAGUCCGUGUCGAUCAAGCUGCCUUGACUCCGACUCCGGAACGGCUUUUUAGAUUUUAGUUAUCACUUGGCCAUGCUACUGAUAAUCGGCUGCGCUUUGACUAAUACAUUUUACACAUG
rnacentral:lncRNA from 1 species